rnacentral:lncRNA from 1 species
GAGUCCUCGCCAACCUGCUGCAGGCGGGCGGGCACCCGCACCCCGCUCGCAGCCGGGGCCGGGCUGGGGCUGCCGCCUCCGCCAUCCCCGCACUUGCCCCAGCCCGGUAGGGCGGCCAGCCUUCGGCCGCCUCCUCCUCCUCCUCACCGGCAGCCACCGCCGCCGCCCGGCAGAAAGACAGAGCGGGGGAGCCAUGGCCGAGGGGGGCGAGGGCGAGGACGAGAUCCAGUUCCUGCGAACUCCCGCUCCGCAGCAAGGUUUCCGCUAACUUGCGGAGCGCCCUCCUCGCUGAGCACGGACUAACCCCUUCUCUGGUGCGGGCAUCCCUUCCGUACGCCUGUCUUCUUCAGUCCCG